rnacentral:rRNA from 1 species
UACAGAGACUGCAAGCGUUAUUCGGAUUCACUGGGCGUAAAGGGUGCGCAGGCGGCCAAGUGUGUGAGGCGUGAAAGCCCGGGGCUUAACCCCGGAAUUGCACCUCAAACUACAUGGCUAGAGCAUUGGAGAGGGUAGCAGAAUUCAUGGUGUAGCAGUGAAAUGCGUAGAUAUCAUGAGGAAUACCAGAGGCGAAGGCGGCUACCUGGACAAUUGCUGACACUGAGGCACAAAGGCCAGGGGAGCAAACGGG